GAGGAGGGAGCAUGUGAUGAAGAUGAAGAUGGACACAGAGAUGGAGCAGGUCUUUGAGAUGAAGGUCAAAGAAAAUGGGGAAAAACUGGAGGACUGGAGCUUUGUAUUCGGUUUCUAGUUGAUGCAUCAAAGCAUUCUUUGGUACCCAUCAUUUCGGUUAAACCUAUAUGGCAGAUGCACAGAGGCAAACUACACAAUUAAGCUAAUCAAUAAAAUCGACUUAUCGUCCCGCCCUAGAAUCAGGAGACACAGAGAUUGAGCGCACACCUCAGUAGCACAGAGACCGGAGAGAACUUGGAGACACAGAACACUAUGGAGGACCACAGGCGCUAGGUCAAACGAGUCAGAAAGUCCAUUUCAUAGAUACAAGACCAAACGAUGAUGGUGUGUUUGC